rnacentral:rRNA from 1 species
UCAGGUAAAGCUGGGAACUCUGGGGAGACGUGCCGGUGAUAAACCGGAGGAAGCGGGGAUGACGUCAAGUCCUCAUGGCCCUUACAUCCCGGGCUACACACGUGCUACAAUGGCAGGUACAGAGGGCUGCGAAGCCGCGAGGUGGAGCGAAUCCCAGAAAACCUGUCUCAGUCCGGAUUGAAGUCUGCAACUCGACUUCAUGAAGGCGGAAUCGCUAGUAACCGCGAAUCAGCAGGUCGCGGUGAAUACGUUCCCGGGCCUU